AUGUCGCCCAAGGUCCUGCCAUCUUUGUCUUCUGGGUCCAGCCUGUCCUCCUCCUCCUUGACCCUUGCACUUCUCCUGCUGACCAUCCAGAGCCUGAUCCUGGCCCAGUGGCCCAGCCAGCUGUUCUCUGGAGACCCCGUGCUCACAACAGUGGCUGUGCUGCUGCUGCUGCUCAUCACUGGAGUCACGGUCAUCAUCUGGAGGCAGCCCCAGGACCCCUCUCCUCUUCCAUUCAGGGCAAGUGAACUUAUGUGUCCAAAGUGUCCUCCUUGGGUGAAUGAGGUCUGUGUCCUUUGAUGGCAAAAUGUCCUUUCCUGGACACGGAAUGAGGGGAGUUACUGAAACCAAUGGACUCUUCCCUGAUCCACCCUCAGGGCUUUGCAUACACAAUCUCAGUAGGCACUGAAUGCACAGCCCGAGGAGGACGGGAGCCUCCCACCCACGUGGGGCAGGGUCCCCCUUAAGACACCUGGGCUGUGUUCAGGGAUGAGCUGCUUCUGCCCACAGGUCCCUGCUCUGCCUGUCCUCCCGCUGGUCAGCAUCUUCAUGAACGUUUACCUGAUGAUGCAGACGACCUCUGAGACCUGGGCCCUGUUUGGAGUCUGGAAUGCCAUUGGGUUUCUCAUAUACUUCGGAUAUGGGAUCCGGUACAGCCUGGCAGGGAACAAUCAUCAACAGCCACCAGCCACCAGCCUCCACCUCCCAGACUCUUGACAUAAACACCCCUGGUGCUGAGUCAUCUUAACCACAGGACGUAGAUGUUGCGUGGAAUCCCUCCAUGCCCUGGCGGAUCUGCUGGUGCAAGGGACACUGUGAGCCUCGGUGGAGUGUGAAGGUGGAGGCAUCUAAAGCCCUGUAUUUCUUGCUAGUGGACAAAGUGACUGGACCAUUGUGCAAUUUUUGGACUACUGGUUCUGGGAGCUCCUGAGUCAACCCUGCUUUACAACAGAGUUUCGGUUCUGAGUUUCAUCAUCGUCUCUGGCUUCAUUAAGGGAGACCUGCGCAACUGGAAGCUCACGGAACAGGACUACACAUUGGACACGUCUGUAUCCAGUGGCACCUCUAGGGGAAGAAGCCCUCAAUCCUCAGCGGUCCAUCCCCGUGAGCACCA